rnacentral:lncRNA from 1 species
CCGCCGUCUCCUCCGGCGUCCUCGACCCGCGGAGAUCACCGCCACCAUUGACCGCGUUUCCGCGGACGCCGCCUCCAGGGUUCGGCAAGGCUGAAAACUUCGACAUCCCGGUAAGGUCCUGUUGCAUUUUGGUUCCGAGCAAUGUGAAUCUGCAGUAGAAGUUUCAAUCUCUUAUCUUUUGUGUGUUGUGUAAUAUGGCAUUAUUAGUCGAUUCCUCCCAAAGUAAUAUGUGUACUACGUAGAGUAUUAGAUAUUUGCUAGCUUUUGUAGCAUUAGCGCUAUCAUCAAGCUAGCUUUUGUGAUGUUAGAUGUUACCAAAACGCACCAAAUCUUGAACUGGGGUCUCUGUUUAGGGCCUUGUAACAUUUUUGGUGGCUUCACUUUUAUGGGGAUUUUACUUUUUGGAGUCUUGGGUCUUGCUAUUUGCACCUUCAGAUGUGUACUCCCUCCGUUCCAAAAUAGAUGAGUCAACUUUGUACUAACUUUGUACAAAGUUGAGUUAUCUAUUUCAGAACGGAGGACAUGCCUGUACUGCCAUUGGACUUGUAUACUGUAUUUUACAGCCAAUGAACAGUUAUUAGAAGUUAGCAUACCAUGAUUUUUUGUUUGACUGAAUAGCAUACCAUGAUUCUAGAAAUUAGAACUGCCUGUGAACGGUCUAUUUUAGUACUCCAUUUCAAAAUUAUUGAAGUUCUAGAUUUGUUUAAGUCAAACUUCUUUAAUUUCGACCAAGUCUAUAGAAAAAUAUAGUUGAUACCUGGGCUUAAACAAGGUAGAUUUAGUUGUUAACUGUAUACACAGCCUCUAUUGCUGCAUUAAGCGAAAGAACAUGCAUAAACUAUGACAGAGCACAUGCACUAUUUGUCAUCCCAUAAAACAAAAGUUAAUUUCUCUCGACAUUUUUGUGGUCUACUCACACAGUGGCAGAGGGGCCAACCUGGGCCAUCCCCCCCCCCCACCCAAAGCUAAUUUAGUUCUGCCAUAUCAAUAACAUGCAUUUAGUCAUUAACGAUGUACCUUUUCCUAAUCUUUGCAUUAGAUGGCCCCUCCAAAAAUCCUGAUCAAGCUCCGCCACUGACUCACACCUGCCUAAAUUACUCAUUUAGUGGCAUAUACAUGAUCAGAGAAGAGCAUGGUGCAUGCCACAUCCAUGGCCUAUCCAGGAUUUUGACGAUGGGUUUUCAGAGUUAAAAAUAAAUAAAAGAGAAACAAUCAAAACACAAUCCGGAUGAUUUCUAGUUCUGUGUUACAAUGCCUUAGUACGCAACUUAUUCUUCAUAGCACGGUUACUGAAACUGACAGAUGUGUAACAGACACAUACAUUACAAAGAAACACAAGAAACAAUUCCAUAAGAAACACAAUGAAUCGGUUGAAAAUAAAAUGGAAGCUUCAAAUCGAUAAAUAUAGAGGUCUGCUCAGUGCCUCUUCAAAGCCGGUUGGUUUUGAUUCUUUGCCAGCUCACCCCUCAGCUCUUCCACAAAACUAUCCUUGUAGCCGUUGUGGAACUCCAUGAGCAUGAACUCCUUAAGGCUUGGGAGUGAUGGCAGCCCAGUAAACAACCCAGUGCUGGCUUGAGAAGUCCAGUCACGAAACUGCAGCAGCUCGAGCUUCGGGGUGGCUUCUUCAAACUUCACCGAUUUCAGACCAGCUAUGCGAUCCAGCUCCAGUACAACCAGGCUCGGGAAUGCACCUUGACAGAAGUUGAAACGAACCUCCUUGCCCACGAACAACUCCCUCCACAGGCGCAGAGUAGACAGAUUCGGUAUCUUCGCAAGGAGUUGUGUGGCAGCAUCAUGCUCCACAAUCCUUGAGCCCUGUAGCCUCUACUUGACGAGAUUUGUGAGCCCCUGGAUCCAUUCGGGCAAUUUUACAAUGUUGCCGUACAGCUUGAGGCUUUGAAGAUUUGCUGGAGGUGAGGAGAUGCCAUCUAAGCAGCUAGAUAAACCAGGAUUCCCAGUGACUGUACUAACAGCUUGAGGCUCUGAAGAUUUGCUGGAGGUGAGGAUAUGCCAUCUAAGCAGCUAGAUAAACCAGGAUAUCCCAGUGACUGCACUAACAACGAUUCCAAGCAGCUGAGACCUGCAAUUGCCGAAAGCAAAUCUUGACUGCUUCUCUUGUUGACGCCAAUCACUCCUAGCUUGCGCAGCCGGGUAAGCUCUUCUAUGUCUUGCAGAACGGCUUUUGCCCGUGUGAUGUUGACAAUACCCAAUGUUUUCAGGGCUUUCAGUCUGCGAAUUCUUCUUGGCACUGCAACACCACGUGUACUUUGCCGCGUGGCCAAUAGAGGUAAUAUGUUGCAGCAGCACAUGGUGCAUACGUCACGCCUGUUCACGUCGACAUCCAUACCCAUCUUCUUCUCCAGAAGCUGAGGUGCACAGCAUGCCACACAAAAUGAAAUUGAAGAGCAAGUAAUGUUACACAGCCUGUUUAUCAUUACCUCGGGUAGAUCUUCUUGACAUGUCUUGAUUUCAAGUCUGUCAUCAUCGUUAUCUUCUAUGGCCCCAGCACAAAUGUUCCGUAGCUUACUAAGCUUGACGAUGGUCCAUGGCAGCCUUAUUAUGCGUGUACUCGAGAUGUCUAUAGUUUCGAGUUGCCUCAGGUUACCCAACGAAUCAGGCAGGUGAUAAAUGCCAUCACAUCCUCUUAGAGAGAGGUAUCUCAUGUGAAGAAGCUUCCCGAUGCACUCAAGGUGAUGGUCAACUAAUUCUGAGGUGCCCGGCAUGGAAAGUUCACCUUUACAUUGGGUUUUCGUAGGCCGACCGGAUGGUGGACGUUUGCCCGAGGCCACCACCUGCUCCCCACACCGAGAUCACUCUGAGAUCAUCGCCCCUCGUGUUGAUCAGUUGGGCGAGAUCCACACUUGCCUUGUCCUGCUGCCUGGUCAUAUACUCCUCCCUUCAUUGAUGCCAAACAGCAAGGCAUCGGCGCUGCUACUGCCAUUGGAGGUGCCGGUGGUGUGCUUAGAGACACCAGCUGAGCUGUUGAUGAGGUUCUAGCGCACGUUCCCCUGGCUGACGUCCUCCACCUUAGCCCUGAGCUCCUUCAUCCGCAUGGCCACACAGCGAUGGGCCAUCAAUGUGCCUGCGCCACGCCACCACCUGGACAGCUUUUCCAGACAGACCGCCAAGUCCUGGAGGCAGUCCUCGACUUCGUAGGCCACGUCCCGGACCUGCUUGACCCAUACCUUGACCGCCCUGCUGUUGCGCUCCCGGUAAUCGUCAACGGCCAUCAGGAAAGCUUGCAUCAUCUCGAGCUCGUCCUUGAUGAAGAAGGUCUGGUCACGCUGGACCCCGAGCUGCAGCGCCACCUGCUCCGCCAGGGCAGAGCGGGCAUAGUUCAGCGCUCCAUUCACCACGGAAUUGCGGACGCUCAGCACCAUCACCUCCAUUAGUUAGCUGUGAUGGAUGGAUUGGAAUGGAUAGAGGUAGUGCUGCUAGCUAUGGCAGAUGCAGAUUGUUGAUCGAUGUAGAGGAGCUAAACAAUUAUGGUAGGCCUAGGGCCCCCAAGUUGCAGUUUCUUAUUCUGUUCUUUUAUCAAGUUUGGCCUACUAACCACAUAUGCCAUUGUGGUUGGAGUUUCUUAUUCUGGGGUUGUACUACUGCGUUCCGCAAGUUGGAGUGUCUUAUUCUGAAAUGAAGGCGACGACUCCGGGCUGUAUGUUUAUUGACAGUCGAAACUAAAUCUCGAAAUGUGUGCAUGCCUUGUAAACUGGAACGGAGGGUCUGAAAUGAUGCCUUAUAGAGUUUGAGCUGUGGGUGGAGAUUAACUUCUUUUUUAUGCUUCAGUCACUGUACUUAGUUGAAUUCGCCAUCAUCAUUUGUGCUUGCAUGAAGAUUGUGGCAGCUUGAAUUAUUUUGGUAGCAUCUAUGUUUAUCUUCAUUAUGUAGCUCUGAACAUUUUUUAUACAACAAUGUAUUUUUUUUCUGUUGCCAUCUUGAGCAAAAAUGAUAAGCAUUUCUUUAUGCAGUCCCUUGGAAGAAAAGGUCUUGGUCCUCGUGAACCCUAGAGAAGAGAUAAAGAGUUGUGAUGCAUUCAGGAACGCGCUACAGAGAAGGCUGCGAUGAAGGUUAAGAAGAAAAACAAACACCUGGCUGGUGGCCGCAAGGAGGAAGGCAGAUCAGCUCCAUAUUGCACAAGUAGACAAGCUGAAUUGAAAAAUUGCGCAAAAAACCCAGCCCAAGGCUACGCUGCGCAAGCAGGCAAUUGCAACUGAAGCCUAGAAUGAAGUGCGUCAGACAUUAGAUUGUUAUCACCAUCUACACAAGACAGAAGCCAGGUUUUGGAAUAAUACAGCACGUCUUGAACUACAAAGGUCAAGGUCUCAAGGAAACUGAACAAUCAAGGCCGAUUGCAAUUUACGACAGCAGGUGGAGUAAUCUACGAUUCUACUAAAACAACACAAUUUAGAGAGGAGAUUUGAGAAGGUGAUCAGUAGGAACAGGGAAGACAAUAGACCAACACAACAACCCCACCGCAGCCGCCGGAUCCAGGCUCGCGGGUGGAUGAUUAUGGGCUGGCAGCUUUGAUCUCGCCAAGUUUUUUCUCUCGAAACUUGGCAUAACAAAGCAGAUAGAAUAGGUGGGUUUAUAGAUGUGUUCUAGUUUUAUGGGGUUACACACUCUUACCUCUAAUACUAGUGAAGCAUUUUUUUCGCUCCAUUGCCACUGAUAUAUUCUGAACGAAACGUAUAAUUUCAGAUGCAUGAUUACAAAAUGGUUUGUCUGGUUAAAGAAUGUCUGAAACAAAAGCCUCUGGCAGAUGUUCUUUGUUUCGCUCCAUUGCCACUGAUAUAUUCUGAACUGAAACGUAGAUACUUUCAGAUGUAUGAUUACAAAAUGGUUUAUCUGGUUAAAGAAUGUCUGAAACAAAAGCCUUCGGCAGAUGUUUUAGAUGGAGAG